rnacentral:rRNA from 1 species
GACGAACGCUGGCGGCGUGCUUAACACAUGCAAGUCGAACGAGAAUCUGUGGAAAGAGGAUUCGUCCAAUUGAAGCAGAGGACAGUGGCGGACGGGUGAGUAACGCGUGAGGAACCUGCCUUUCAGAGGGGGACAACAGUUGGAAACGACUGCUAAUACCGCAUAACAUAUAGAUGUCGCAUGGCAUUUAUAUCAAAGAUUUAUCGCUGAAAGAUGGCCUCGCGUCUGAUUAGCUAGUUGGUGAGGUAACGGCCCACCAAGGCGACGAUCAGUAGCCGGACUGAGAGGUUGAACGGCCACAUUGGGACUGAGAUACGGCCCAGACUCCUACGGGAGGCAGCAGUGGGGAAUAUUGGGCAAUGGGGGAAACCCUGAUGCAGCGACGCCGCGUGAGCGAAGAAGUAUUUCGGUAUGUAAACUUCUUUUCUUAGUGACGAAGACAGUGACGGUAGCUAAGGAUAAGCAUCGGCUAACUACGUGCCAG